rnacentral:lncRNA from 1 species
AUUAGCAUUUCUAGCAACAAUGUAUUUUUAAAUUAAGAUAUUUGAUGUGAUUCACCAGUACAGCCAUAUGAAGAUGAUAUUUUGAUUUUAGGAAUGUUUCAUUACAAAUGCAAUUCCUUCAACAGAGGCUUUUUCACUCCUCAGAAGAAAAAGUGGACACUAUAUGCCCCAAUGCAGCCGCAUUCCUGCUGGUCCCCAAAAGUAUAGUCACAAAAUUAAACAGGAAUGUCUCUGACGGCACUUCACUGACAGCUGAAUCAAGGCCAAUUCUAUGCCUCUGAGGAAUGCAGAGCAUACUUCAGGCUCUCCUGUUGCACAACACCCAAGUGAGCACCCAAGUGGUGGCUCUGGACCAAGAAUUGGACUGUUACAGCUACUGCCUACCAACAUAGGGUGUUCUGAGAGACAGGUUACAGCUACUGCCUAUCAACACAGGGUGUUCUGAGAAACAGCAAAGACACUUCGUUUCUGAAAAUGGCGAUCUGAGAACUUUAGAAAUGAACUUGAGAGGAAAAGAUGAACCUUAAAAAAUUUCACUAGGAAGUUGAACAUCUAGACCAGCAGUGUCCAAUAAAACUUUCUGCACUGAUACAAAUGUGUUAUAUCUGUGUUCUCCAAUAUGGCAGCUACCAAACACAUGUGGCUGUUGAGCACUUAAAAUGUGGUGAGGGUGAAUGAUAAACUGACUCUUUAAUGUUGCCUAACUUUAGUUUAAAUUUAAAUAGCCACAUGCAGCUAAUGGUUAUUGUAUUGAACAGUUCAGAUGUAAACAAAUGCUGGACUGAGCAACCAUUCAAAAAAAAUUUUAAGAUUCAUUUCUGAAUUCUUGAUCCUAAAAAAGUCCCUGUUUCCAUUGGGCCUGCUGUGAUGAAAUAAGUCUAUUUUAAGAACUUUGGGGAUAGAGAAAUCGUACUAGAUUUCCAAAAAAUUAAGGAUACUAAAGAUAUAGGUUGAUUUUUAAAGACUGUACUUGAACUUAUUCAUUUUAUAACUCAAAUUUUGUACCCUUUGAUCAAAAUCCUUCAUUUCUUUCACCCCCAGCACCUGACAACCACCUUUCUACUCUGUUUCUGUUACUAGUUAAUAAUUCUGUAUAUAAAAAUUUCUCAUUCAAACUAAAAAUAUAUAUAGUACUUGAAUUGUGAAUAUUUACCUUAAUUUUAACCUAACAUAAAUAAAAUACCUUUCCAUAUUGCUAUGAAGGACAAAAGUUAUCUCUGGACAGGUAAGUUAUCAGUCUAUUGAUUUAUCUAUCUACCAAUCUCUCCAUCCAUCUAUUAAUAUAAACUGUUUCCUUUUCAGACAGAUGUACCUUGAUUUCCUGCCAUUUUUCAGGAAGUAAACACAAAUACUGUUUUCCUUGGCUCCUUAAUAUAAAGAGGGCAAUAUGAGCUUAUAAAAAAAUGGUAACCAAGCACAUCUUGGACACUGCAGAAAUUUUUAGAGGCCUUUGUUACUAUCUCCUCCUGGCCAAAGGAAUUCAGGGAUGUUUUAAAAUGUGAGCAGUGGCCCCACUGCUAGGGGCAGCAUUACUGACAAGCUGGUGGCAAUGGGAUUCACACACAGGAAAUAAAAAUGAUGUGGACAGAAUGCAGAGAGCAAUGGGAGGUAGAUUUGUACAGAGGAAAUCCUGGCUAGAUUUUCCAAUAGUGCUGCAGAAGCACUCUUCUGAGCUUGUUUUCUAAAAUAUUUUCUGGUAUGUAAAUUGAAAAGAGGUUUGGCUUAAUUUCUUUUCUCUGUUUGCUGGGAUUGAAGUAGUGAGUUGGAAUGGGUGGAGGAAGAGAGCUAUGAAAGUAUUUUUAGGAAAAAUAGCAUCUUAAGAACCAUUUCCUUGGCAGACCCAGUCACUGACAUGUCAAAUUAGAAAGAUUCUGAAGAAAGAAAUGUCAAAUUAUACUCCAUCUGAUUUCCCAACACAAACUGCUGGUCAGUCUAGCUCACAGGGUGAGGAAGAAAAAGAAUUAGAUAAUGGGUGUGACGCUAUAGUAAGGAAACCAAGUACCAUAGGUCAGAAGUUGUCACCUGGUGUGAUUCAUCUUGAUUUAAAAGUCACCUAGUGUGAUUCAUCUUGUACUCUUUAUGAGGUGGAGAGCCUGUCAAUGAGACAGACAGACACAGAGAGAGAGACAGACAGAGAGAGAGAGAGAGACAGAGACAGAGAGACAGAGAAUGAAAGGGCAAGGGC